AUUGAACGCUGGCGGCAGGCCUAACACAUGCAAGUCGAGCGAGCGGCGGACGGGUGAGUAAUGUCUGGGAAACUGCCUGAUGGAGGGGGAUAACUACUGGAAACGGUAGCUAAUACCGCAUACCAUCAGAUGUGCCCAGAUGGGAUUAGCUAGUAGGUGGGGGAAUGGCCCACCUAGGCGACGAUCCCUAGCUGGUCUGAGAGGAUGACCAGCCACACUGGACCUGAGACACGUUCCAGACUCCUACGGGAGUCAGCAGUGGGGAAUAUUGCACAAUGGUCGCAAGCUUGAUGCGGCCAUGCCGCGUGUUUGAAGCAGUCCUUCGGGUUGUAAAGCACUUUCAGCGGGUAGGCGUUACCCGCAGAAGAAGCGCCGGCUAACUCCGUGCCAGCCGCCGCGGUAAUUC
rnacentral:rRNA from 1 species